rnacentral:rRNA from 1 species
GUCCACGCCGUAACGAUGUCAACUAGCCGUUGGCUCUCUUAGAGAGUUAGUGGCGCAGCUAACGCAUUAAGUUGACCGCCUGGGAGUACGGCCGCAAGGUUAACUCAAAUGAAUUGACGGGCCCGCACAAGCGGUGGAGCAUGUGGUUAAUUCGAUGCAACGCGAAGAACCUUACCUACCCUUGACAUCCAGAGAAUCUGUUAGAGAUAGUAGAGUGCCUUCGGGAACUCUGAGACAGGUGCUGCAUGGCUGUCGU